CUAUUCACUAAAUAACAAAUUAAAGUGAGCAAAAACUGAACUGUAACAUUGAGUGCAAGAAAGUGCUAUUUGCAAAAAACCUUCAACCAAGGCUCUAACUGAAGGCGGCAUCUACCAAACCCAUGCUGAUAGAGGGCUGUUACCUACCCCAAGAGGCUGACAGGGGGUUGCACCUACACCCCCCCCCCACCUACCCCUCUCCCCAGGGGCUGUAAGCUACCCCUCUCCCCAGGGGCUGAUGCGGGGCUGUAAGCUACCCCUCUCGCCAGGGGCUGAUGGGGGGCUGUAAGCUACCCCUCUCGCCAGGGGCUGAUGGGGGGCUGUAAGCUACCCCUCUCCCCAGGGGCUGAUGGGGGGCUGUAAGCUACCCCUCUCCCCAGGGGCUCAUGCUUGGGGGAAGGGAUACCUACACUCUGGGGAUUGCUAUAAUCACUUACUCCCCAGAGUAAGCUUUUGUAAGAGCUUAAUUUGUUCCUGCUAUGCUCUCUGGAUUUAGGAGAGGUUCACCCACUGGGAGGGGCUGUAAGCUACCCCUCUCCCCAGGGGCUGAUGGGGGGCUGUAACCUACCCCUCUCCCCAGGGGCUGAUGGGGGGCUGUAACCUACCCCUCUCCCCAGGGGCUG